GCGGGGGCCACGAGGGAGCCCGGGAACAGCUGAGCCGACACCUCGCUCAGGAGACCAUUAGGUGCCACCUGCCUGUGACACGUGGCUCAGGGUAAGAAGCCUUGGCUGAGUCAGGACACUUCAGUUUGAGGGGAUGGAAGCCUUAAUAUUCUCAGGUAGCUUUAAAAGAGCAUCAAGGGAGACUGUGAAGAAAUGGGAUUAGACCCUACAUAUUGAAAAACCUCGUUACACUGGAGCCGUCUUCUCCAUCCUUCUGCGUCUGCCCGCGUGAAGAUGAGCCCGUCCACGCCCGGCAGAGUAAGAGGCUCCCGAAGGCGUCCGACGCCCUCACCUGUGGACCCGUGAACCAGUCCUCACAAGGACAGAGGGGGCUUGCAGAGGCCAUUAAGGCUGAGACAGGCUGACCACCCUGCGGUGACCUGGCGGAAGAGAGGGAGUGACGAGAUGUGACAGCACCUUGACCCACCCUUGCUGGCUUUAAAAACGGAGGAGGGGGCCCUGAGGCAAGGCACGGGGGCAGCCUCUAGAAGCCCAAAAGGCGAGGACACAGCCUCUCCGCAGAGCCUCCAGGAGGGAACACAGCUCCGCGGCACCUUGGUUUCAGCCCAGGGAGACCUACGUAAGAACUGCAAGAAAACAGGUUUUUGUUUCUUCAGCCACUAAGUUUGUGGGAAUUUGUUAGGAUAGCAAUAGAAAAUGAAUGCAGAUUUGAAAAUGAGCUCUUUAUGGUGUACAAUUUUUUUUUUAUUUGAAAUUUUAUGGGUGGU
rnacentral:lncRNA from 1 species